UCCCGAUUUCUCUAUCUUAGUUCUCGAACUAAAUAGAUAAUUGCAUAAGAUAAAUAAAUAAAAAUAUGCAAUCUUGUCCGGCUAGAUAGCCUGAAGGGCCAUUAAUUCAUGAGCAGUUGGAGCCCACAAUCUCAAACAGGCCAAACCUGACAAGCGGCCCAAUAUAAAUGUUGGCCUGCGCGUGACCCUACGACGUGGAGGCGACCGCGCCCAUCAGCUCUUGUGACAUGCACGGUAGAUGUGGGUACGUGUACGAAUGCC
rnacentral:lncRNA from 1 species